GCUCACUCCGGCGGAACAUAUACUAGAAUUGGAAUGAUGCAAAGAAGAUUAGCAUGGCCCCUGCGCAAGGAUGACACACAAAUUCCUGAAGUGUUCCAUAUUUUU
ensembl:snRNA U6 U6 spliceosomal RNA